rnacentral:tRNA from 1 species
GGAGAGAUGCCAGAGCGGUUGAAUGGGGUGCUCUCGAAAAGCACUAUACCCGCAAGGGUAUCGGGGGUUCGAAUCCCCCUCUCUCCGCCA